rnacentral:rRNA from 1 species
UUUUUUAAACAAAAACCUAUGAAAUUUGGCGGCAUUUUAUCAUUUUAGAGGAAUCUGUCUUUUAAUCGACUCUCCACGUUAAAUUUUACUUUUAUUUAAAUCUUAUAUACCUCCAUCUUAAGAAUUAAUAAAUAUAUUUUUUUCUUAAUAAUUUUUUAAUAUGUUAGGUAAAGGUGUAGACAAUAUAAAAGAUAAGAUGGAUUACAUUAAAUUUUAUUUAAAGAUUUUUUAUUAAAUAUAAAUUUGAAAAAGGAUUUAUUAGUAAUUUUUUUAAUAUUAUUUAAUAAUGAACUUGACAAAUAAUGUGCACACAUCGCCCGUCGCU